CUCCAUGCCCAAGAGGAGCUUGGGCGUCUCCUCUUUCUUGCUAAUUUUUAGACCUUGAUUGCUUCAUAAUCAAAGAAAGAAGAGCAAGAGAAGAAGAGAAGAAAAAGAUCAAGGAAGGAUCAAAGAUUUGAUCGCGAUCCAGAUUUCGUUUCGAUUCACAGGGUGAUUGUUCUUGAAAAAGAAAGAUCAACACCAAAGAGGACUAUUCCAGACUAAUUCUGAGUGGAUACCCAUAG
rnacentral:lncRNA from 1 species